rnacentral:rRNA from 1 species
GACGAACGCUGGCGGCGUGCUUAACACAUGCAAGUCGAACGGAAAGGCCCUGCUUUUGUGGGGUGCUCGAGUGGCGAACGGUUGAGUAACACGUGAGUAACCUGCCCUUGACUUUGGGAUAACUUCAGGAAACUGGGGCUAAUACCGGAUAGGAGCUCCUGCUGCAUGGUGGGGGUUGGAAAGUUUCGGCGGUUGGGGAUGGACUCGCGGCUUAUCAGCUUGUUGGUGGGGUAGUGGCUUACCAAGGCUUUGACGGGUAGCCGGCCUGAGAGGGUGACCGGCCACAUUGGGACUGAGAUACGGCCCAGACUCCUACGGGAGGCAGCAGUGGGGAAUAUUGCACAAUGGGCGGAAGCCUGAUGCAGCAACGCCGCGUGCGGGAUGACGGCCUUCGGGUUGUAAACCGCUUUCGCCUGUGACGAAGCGUGAGUGACGGUAAUGGGUAAGAAGCACCGGCUAACUACGUG